UCCUACGGGGCGCAGCAGUGAGGAAUAUUGGUCAAUGGCCGGAAGGCUGAACCAGCCAAGUCGCGUGAGGGAAUAAGGCCCUAUGGGUCGUAAACCUCUUUUGUCAGGGAGCAAAGGGCGCCACGUGUGGCGUUUUGCGAGUACCUGAAGAAAAAGCAUCGGCUAACUCCGUGCCAGCAGCCGCGGUAAUACGGAGGAUGCGAGCGUUAUCCGGAUUUAUUGGGUUUAAAGGGUGCGCAGGCGGAAUGUCAAGUCAGCGGUAAAAUUUCGGGGCUCAACCCCGUCGUGCCGUUGAAACUGGCGUU
rnacentral:rRNA from 1 species